rnacentral:rRNA from 1 species
CAAACGACUCUCGGCAACGGAUAUCUCGGCUCACGCAUCGAUGAAGAACGUAGCAAAAUGCGAUACUUGGUGUGAAUUGCAGAAUCCCGUGAACCAUCGAGUUUUUGAACGCAAGUUGCGCCCGAAGCCAUUCGGCUGAGGGCACGUUUGCCUGGGCGUCACGC